rnacentral:rRNA from 1 species
CAGGAGGGACCACCCUCCAAGGCUAAAUACUACCUAGUGACCGAUAGCGUAUAGUACCGUGAGGGAAAGGUGAAAAGAACCCCGGGAGGGGAGUGAAAUAGAACCUGAAACCCUGCACUUACAAGCUGUGGAAGCACAUUUCUUGUGUGACCGCGUACUUUUUGUAGAACGGGCCAACGAGUUACGUUAAGUAGCAAGGUUAAGCACUUAAGGUGCGGAGCCGUAGCGAAAGCGAGUUUUAACUGAGCGUUCAGUUACUUGACGUAGACCCGAAACCGGGCGACCUACCCAUGAGCAGGAUGAAGCGAAAGUAAAAUUUCGUGGAGGUCCGAACCCACGAGCGUUGAAAAGCUCGGGGAUGACUUGUGGGUAGCGGUGAAAUUCCAAUCGAGCCCGGAGAUAGCUGGUUCUCCCCGAAAUAGCUUUAGGGCUAGCCUCAAGGUGAGAGAUACGGAGGUAGAGCACUGAAUGUCCUAGGGGGUAUUGCACCUACCGAAGACUAUCAAACUCCGAAUGCCGUCAUCUUAUACUUGGGAGUCAGACUGUGGGUGAUAAGAUUCAUAGUCGAAAGGGCAACAGCCCAGAUCGUCAGCUAAGGUCCCUAAAUGUAAGUUAAGUGGUAAAGGAUGUGGGAUUGCACAGACAACCAGGAUGUUGGCUUAGAAGCAGCCACUCAUUCAAAGAGUGCGUAAUAGCUCACUGGUCGAGUGAUCCUGCGCCGAAGAUUUCCGGGGCUAAAACUUACUACCGAAGCUACGGCAUCAGUAAUGAUGGGUAGGGGAGCUUCCCAUACGGGUUGAAGCAUGACCGUAAGGACAUGUGGACAGUAUGGGAGUGAGAAUGUUGGCAUGAGUAGCGAGAUGUGGGUGAGAAUCCCACAGGCCGUAAACCCAAGGUUUCCAGGGGAAGGUUCGUCCGCCCUGGGUUAGUCGGGACCUAAGCUGAGGCCGAAAGGCGUAGGUGAUGGACAACAGGUUGAUAUUCCUGUACUACCGAUAACCGUUUGAGAGAAGGGAUGACACAGUAGGAUAAGCUAAGCACACUGUUGGUUAUGUGUGCCCAAGCAUUGAGGCAGUCAAAGUAGGCAAAUCCGCUUUGAUAAUGCUGGGAUGUGAUGGGGAGCGAAAUUUAGUAGCGAAGUAGCUGAUUUCACACUGUCAAGAAAAGUCUCUAUCGAGGUUAAAGGUACCCGUACCGCAAACCGACACAGGUGGGUGAGGAGAGUAUCCUAAGGCCAGCGAGAGAACUGUUGUUAAGGAACUCGGCAAAAUGACCCCGUAACUUAGGGAUAAGGGGUGCCACCAUCAGGUGGCCGCAGAGAAUAGGCCCAAGCGACUGUUUACCAAAAACAUAGGUUUCUGCUAAGUCGCAAGACGAUGUAUAGGAGCUGACGCCUGCCCGGUGCUGGAAGGUUAAGGGGAUCUGUUAGAGCAAUCGAAGCAGUGAACUUAAGCCCCAGUAAACGGCGGCCGUAACUAUAACGGUCCUAAGGUAGCGAAAUUCCUUGUCGGGUAAGUUCCGACCCGCACGAAAGGCGUAACGAUUUGGGCACUGUCUCAACAACAGACUCGGUGAAAUUGUAAUUCCGGUGAAGAUGCCGGAUACCUGCGACAGGACGGAAAGACCCCAUGGAGCUUUACUGUAGCUUGACAUUGGGUCUUGGUACUACAUGUACAGGAUAGGUGGGAGGCUUUGAAACCAGGACGCCAGUUUUGGCGGAGCCAUCCUUGGGAUACCACCCUUGUAGUACUGGGACUCUAACCAUAGGCCAUGAAUCUGGUCUUGGGACACUGUCAGGUGGGCAGUUUGACUGGGGCGGUCGCCUCCCAAAAGGUAACGGAGGCGCUCAAAGGUUCUCUCAGUACGGUCGGAAAUCGUACGUAGAGUGU